CUCGACUUGUGAUUUUCGGUCGCCAACAAGGUCUCAGCGAAAGAUGACGAUGAACCAGGGAGACGCAAGAUCUCUUUUUAUAGUGGUGGAUUUUCCUUAUAAAGCUCCAUACUUUAGUAGUGUAUUUGAAUUUAAAUUGGGUGAGAUGCUUCGAGGACAAACAAAGGAAGAAGAAGCAUUUGCAUGUGUAGGACAGUUGAGUCAAACGAAGUGGCGCCAACCCAUUUCAUGGAUGUUUUAUUCUUUGGCUACUGCCACUUCUUGCAGUUCUACUGACCUGUGUCUAUUGCCAGAUGGUGGUCCUGAAGAUUUUAAGAUCGAUGUUCCAUUGCACGGAUAUAUCUUCAACAUCAGGACCAAAAAGGUGCGAAAAAUGAAGCCGCCCAAGGCCUCCAAAUGCUUAGGACAUGUUGUAUCUUUGAAAGGGGACAUUUAUUUUAUUACAGAUCCAUACUGGUUAACUGGUGCACCAGACCCGUCUUUCGAGCGAUAUCUUCCUGACAAAGAUUCUUGGGAAACUCUGACACAUUUUCCCCGUAUUGAGGGCAUGAGUUGCAACGGUCAGAUGGUGGCUAUUGCCGUUUGUGAUGAAUUCAUUUUGUUUAACAUAGAUGCCCGUUGUCAAAUGUGGGCGUAUGAUGUAAGUAGAAACAAAUGGUAUUUAGUCAAAGUUGAGAACUAUGAGUGCUAUGGUAUACGAGGGGUGGCUGUGGUUCUAGAAAAGACUAUCUAUGCUUUAACACACGUGUCGUUUGACACAGUUCUGGCUUUAUCUAUUACAAGGGAACAAAUUGAUGGAGAUCUUGUAUUUACAUGUUCUCUACACUCGGUCAUUGAGGUGCCGUACAUGGAGCUAUUUCCAUUGGGUGAGGCAGGCCCGAGAAGCAGGUAUUUGGUUCAUUUGGGUCACCAGGAGUUUUGUCUUGUCUAGAGUGGUCUCCUCCCUGGUUAUAAUGAUCGUCAACCCAUAAAAUUCAGCAUUAUAAAGCUUGUGGGAAAAAACUCAAUGAAUAUAACUGAUGGAAUAGUCUACGAGGUGCAUCUUCUGGAUUUUUUGAGCAAUUUCGAGUUAGACACUGCUUCUCGCCGCCAUAAGCUCCUUCACUUUUGAUUUGAACUAAUUUGGGAUUUCUGUUUGUUUUGAAUGUCACCUUUAUACGUUUCUGAUUGUUCUAUGACUCAGUGAGUGCGAGGAUUUUGUGUUAAAAGAAGAAGACAAAGGUGAUAUUUUCUUCAACUUCGACCCUGUUUGUGAGGAUAUUGUGUCAAAACAAGAAGACAAGAGUGAUACUGACUUCACCUUCAACCCAGAAUCUGAAGUUGUCAAACCAGUCCAAGAAGAAGAGGUUGCGACCCUGCCAAUACAAGGAGAAACAAUAGUCGAUACCAGUUCCCUUGAGAGGCUUCAACUAUCACAAUCGGGGAUUUUCAAGCAGUGAUCGAGGAAAAGAGAAGAACCGCCACCUGAGUUGGCAAUGGGAGAAGAGGAAAAAACACAGGAAAAAUGAUCUUUUCAAAAUAAUGACGCAGUUCAAUUAUGUGUUCAUUAUGUAUAAAACACAGGAAAAAAGAAAACAGGUUGCAACAGCCUUGGGGCUGAGGGAGUGUUACUGUUUUGGGUUUCUUCCUUUUAGGCCCUUUGGCAUC